AUUGAUUAUGACGAAGAGACAUUAUAGCUUACAACAAGGACACUAAAGAAGCUGAAAAUAAAAACAAAUCCCUGCAUCUUAUAGAAAGGACCCCAAACAUAAAACUGAAAACGCGAUCGGGUCCACGCUGUGCCGCAGUGGAUACAAUCAUCGCCGACGCCUGGGACAGACCACUUGGUCCGGCGAGACCUCUGUAGCAAGCCACAGACUCCAAUUUGGCACAGCACUGCCUUCCUUCUGGCAUCGUGGCUGGGAGGAACAAGUAUGGCCGCCCUUCGACCAGAGGAAUCGAUGGAUUGUUGGAGGAGACCGGUGUCGUAGCUCCUUCAGAUCCACCAUCGAAUAAGCUCAGGAUCCCCAUCACCAGCUUCCAACGAGAUAGCGGAAGCCCUUUCCAAAAUGCGGGGAUAACACCACCUACGCCGGAAGCUCGGAUCCGGCGAGGCCCAGCACCACGAGGAGGCCGAGGCGAGAUCUCUCCACCUUUCUGCUACCAUCACCACGACGGCAAGAAACAGAGGAAGGAACCACCGUGGCUCCUAGAUGCUGGACAGACUGAGCUUAUUGGGAGGGAUACUGCCAGAUCCAAUGUCCACCAGUCCCCUCCACCAUGGAGGCGAGGUAGGAGACAACGACGACCACCACCAGACUCUGCUCACAAGGUCUAGCAGCAGGUAUCCCGACUGGCAUGAGGCCACACCAUGGCAUAACGCCAAGUCUAACUAAGUCUACUGCUACUCUAAUAUACAUAUGGAAGAACCAGGCACCUCUCCUCAACCAUCGCCAGCCAGCAUCGCCGACGAACGAGGCAUCAGAUCGGCCCGGCCGGGGAUAAGC
rnacentral:lncRNA from 1 species